rnacentral:lncRNA from 1 species
UAAAUAGAAUUCAUAUCGUCUAACAUCUUGUGUAUGGAUGAUAUCGGAGCAAAAAUGUAGUGUUUUUUUUUGGACGAGUAAAAGGAGCCCUAGGGUUUCGUAACGACCUGAAUUGAAGAAGCUAAAGACAGAGGUCAGUUAAACUGGGAACUCCAGACUAAAUGGUAUCGUUUUUGUAUUUCUAAUUCUACAUAAGCUGCAAGUACAACUUCAAUGUUAUAAGUUGUCCUCUUUUGAGAAUAACUGACUAUGGUUUUAAACGGUCCAGAUCUAAAAGUUGAUCCCUUAUUUAACAUACUUUGUUCACUCUCUUUAGCGACGGACCAUGCGACGAUUCGAUUCGUCGAUAUAUGUAGUCCGUCGCUUAAAGUUAAG